GUCUGAGUCAUCAUGAAGACCAGCUCUAGAGGACUCAGCACCCGUCUGAUGGAGGGGCUCGCGCAGACAUGAGUGGUCACAAGGCAUUGGAUGCUGGGAGGCUCAGAGAUGAGGUCUAUGAAAAGGUCUUCCGGAGAAAGCCAGCAGCUCCAGAGCAGGUGCUGGAUUGUCCCGCACAGACUUGAGAAGACCAGAGCAGCCCUCACUUCCCAUGGGAUUCCUGGACACCUGAGAAACACACAGGAAAAGCCAAGGGAAGCUGAGCCCAGCGAAGCCAGACGACAGUGUGAAGGGGAAGGAGGGACUCUUCAUCUCUGAGGACUGGUUAGGACGGCCCCACUGCCUCAGCUCAGAAGGUGUCUCUGCCAGACAGCAUGCCCCAGUAAGGCUGCUGGGAGAGACAGGGGAAAGGGUGCACCAGACACAGCCCUGCCCUUAAAGAGCUCACCUGCUAGGGGAGGGUAGGAACAGGAGACAUCAGAAAAACGCAGUGUGGUAAGUGCAAUGAGAGAGCGUACACCAACCCUACCUGGGAAGUGUCAAGAAAAGGAAAAUCCAAAAGAGAAUUUUAACAGUGGCCCACGAUGGCUACAGUCAGGCACAUGGGUAAUAAUAAAACUGAGGCCUAUAAACUGAA